GGAGACUCUAAGACUUCUGAAGAGUUUCUUGCUUCUUUCCUGUGGGGCAGUGACUCCACUUCCCAGCAGUAAUGGAAUAUCCUGAAUUAGCUACAUUAAUGUUAGAACCAUUUGGACCUCACCCAGGACUUCAACUACAUUAUGAGUAACUCCUGGACGAUUGGCACAGAAGAAGGCACAAGGCAAAUACCCAUCUCUGUACACCCUGUGCUACUGUGUCAUGUGCUGCUCCAGGCAACUCCAAUGGAUUGGCCACCCUGGCCAAUGUGUUCUAGUAUGUUACGUUUAUGUUCCCCUGCUUUCUACAAUCCUGUUCAAAGAGUUGCUGACUUAACCACAGAGAGGAUUCCAGAACCUGAGACACAGAAUAAACUUGAGCAAUCAUAGUCCAUCCACUUCAUUGUCUCAUCAAAAACCAAAGGUCCAGUGAAGCUCUGGAACUCAACGCUGUAAAGGAGCGAAGGAGCUUCUAUACAGAGCCUGGAUGCCUGUCUCCUUAUCCUACUUCAGUGGACUUGACUGCAAUCCGGAUUAUGCUGUUUUCUAAGCAUUUAAAAUAAAAUAAAAAGUAUAA
rnacentral:lncRNA from 1 species